UUGACCUCGAAUCAGGUAGGAAUACCCGCUGAACUUAAGCAUAUCAAUAAGCGGAGGAAAAGAAACCAACAGGGAUUGCCCUAGUAACGGCGAGUGAAGCGGCAACAGCUCAAAUUUGAAAUCUGGCUUUCGGGCCCGAGUUGUAAUUUGCAGAGGAUGCUUCGGGCGCGGUGCCUUCCAAGUCCCCUGGAACGGGGCGCCGGAGAGGGUGAGAGCCCCGUACGGUUGGCGGCCAAGCCUGUGUGAAGCUCCUUCGACGAGUCGAGUAGUUUGGGAAUGCUGCUCUAAGCGGGAGGUAGACCCCUUCUAAAGCUAAAUAUAGGCCAGAGACCGAUAGCGCACAAGUAGAGUGAUCGAAAGAUGAAAAGCACUUUGAAAAGAGGGUUAAAUAGCACGUGAAAUUGUUGAAAGGGAAGCGCUUGUGACCAGACGUGCGCCGGGGUGUUCCACGGGCGUUCUCGCCUGUGUACUCGCCUCGGCGCAGGCCAGCGUCGGUUUGGGAGGGGGGAUAAAGGCGUCUGGAAUGUGGCUCCUCCGGGAGUGUUAUAGCCAGGCGUGCCAUGCCUCCGCCCGGACCGAGGUACGCGUUCUGCAAGGACGCUGGCGUAAUGGUCCCCAGCGACCCGUCUUGAAACACGGACCAAGGAGUCGAGGUUUUGCGCGAGUGUUUGGGUGGAAAACCCGCACGCGUAAUGAAAGUGAACGCAGGUGGGAGCUUUGGCGCACCACCGACCGAUCCUGAUGUUCUCGGAUGGAUUUGAGUAAGAGCGUAGGGCCUCGGACCCGAAAGAUGGUGAACUAUGCUUGGAUAGGGUGAAGCCAGAGGAAACUCUGGUGGAGGCUCGCAGCGGUUCUGACGUGCAAAUCGAUCGUCAAAUCUGAGCAUGGGGGCGAAAGACUAAUCGAACCAUCUAGUAGCUGGUUACCGCCGAAGUUUCCCUCAGGAUAGCAGUGUUGUUCUUCAGUUUUAUGAGGUAAAGCGAAUGAUUAGGGACUCGGGGGCGCUAUUUAGCCUUCAUCCAUUCUCAAACUUUAAAUAUGUAAGAAGCCCUUGUUGCUUAAUUGAACGUGGGCAUUCGAAUGUAUCAACACUAGUGGGCCAUUUUUGGUAAGCAGAACUGGCGAUGUGGGAUGAACCAUACGGGGGGUUAAGGUGCCGGAGUGGACGCUCAUCAGACACCACAAAAGGCGUUAGCACAUCUUGACAGCAGGACGGUGGCCAUGGAAGUCGGAAUCCGCUAAGGACUGUGUAACAACUCACCUGCCGAAUGUGCUAGCCCUGAAAAUGGAUGGCGCUCAAGCGUCCCACCCAUACCCCCCCCUCAGGGUAGAAACGAUGCCCUGAGGAGUAGGCGGCCGCAGUGCUGUGUGACGAAGGCUAGGGCGUGAGCCCGGCUCGAACCGGCGCUGGUGCGGAUCUUGGUGGUAGUAGCAAAUACUUCAAUGAGAACUUGAAGGACCGAAGUGGGGAAAGGUUCCAUAUGAACAGCGGUUGGAUGUGGGUUAGUCGAUCCUAAGCCAUAGGGAAGUUCCGUUUCAAAGGGGUACUCGUACCCCGUGUGGCGAAAGGGAAGCCGGUUAAUAUCCCGGCACCUGGAUGUGGGUUUUUCGCGGCAACGCAACCGAACGCGGAGACGGCGGCGGGGGCCCCGGGCAGAGUUCUCUUUUCUUCUUAACGGCCUCUCACCCUGGAAACAGUUUGUCUGGAGAUAGGGUUUAAUGACCGGAAGAGCCCGGCACUUCUGCCGGGUCCGGCGCGCCCCCGACGUCCCUUGAAAAUCCGCGGGAGGGAAUAAUUCUCACGCUAGGUCGUACUCAUAACCGCAGCAGGUCUCCAAGGU
rnacentral:rRNA from 1 species